rnacentral:rRNA from 1 species
AGAGUUUGAUCCUGGCUCAGAUUGAACGCUGGCGGCAGGCUUAACACAUGCAAGUCGAGCGGUAGCACAAGAGAGCUUGCUCUCUGGGUGACGAGCGGCGGACGGGUGAGUAAUGUCUGGGAAACUGCCUGAUGGAGGGGGAUAACUACUGGAAACGGUAGCUAAUACCGCAUAACGUCGCAAGACCAAAGAGGGGGACCUUCGGGCCUCUUGCCAUCAGAUGUGCCCAGAUGGGAUUAGCUAGUAGGUGGGGUAAUGGCUCACCUAGGCGACGAUCCCUAGCUGGUCUGAGAGGAUGACCAGCCACACUGGAACUGAGACACGGUCCAGACUCCUACGGGAGGCAGCAGUGGGGAAUAUUGCACAAUGGGCGCAAGCCUGAUGCAGCCAUGCCGCGUGUGUGAAGAAGGCCUUCGGGUUGUAAAACACUUUCAGCGAGGAGGAAGGUGGUGAGCUUAAUACGCUCAUCAAUUGACGUUACUCGCAGAAGAAGCACCGGCUAACUCCGUGCCAGCAGCCGCGGUAAUACGGAGGGUGCAAGCGUUAAUCGGAAUUACUGGGCGUAAAGCGCACGCAGGCGGUUUGUUAAGUCANAUGUGAAAUCCCCGGGCUCAACCUGGGAACUGCAUUUGAAAACUGGNNAGCUNGAGUCUCGUANAGGGGNNNNNNAUUNCAGGUGUUUNNNUGAAUGUNNANNNAUCUGUANGAA